rnacentral:rRNA from 1 species
AGCAGCCGCGGUAAUUCCAGCUCCAAUAGCGUAUAUUAAAGUUGUUGCAGUUAAAAAGCUCGUAGUUGAAUUUCGGGAUCAAUUAGUCGGUCGUGCCUCUGGUACGUACUGGUUUUAUUGGUUCCUCCCUUCUGACGAAACACGAUGUCAUUAAUUUGGUGUCGUGGAGAAUCAGGACUGUUACCUUGAAAAAAUUAGAGUGUUUAUAGCAGGCUAACGCUUGAAUACAUUAGCAUGGAAUAAUGAAAUAGGACGUUCGACCCUAUUUUGUUGGUUUCUAGGAUCGACGUAAUGAUUAAUAGGGAUAGUUGGGGGCAUUAGUAUUCAAUUGUCAGAGGUGAAAUUCUUGGAUUUAUUGAAGACUAACUACUGCGAAAGCAUUUGCCAAGGAUGUUUUCAUUAAUCAAGAACGAAAGUUAGGGGAUCGAAGACGAUCAGAUACCGUCGUAGUCUUAACCAUAACUAUGCCGACUAGGGAUCGGAUGAUGUUAAUCUUUUAAUGACUCAUUCGGCGCCUUAC